CCAUUGAUUUAAUCGACUAGUCUGAAACACUAGACGAAAAACAUUGUUUUUCUUGUAUAUUUUUAAAAUUGCGCAUAGAUUUGUUGUGUCUGUUCCAGAGGGGAUUCACUGCUGUCAAAUUUCAUAUAUGUGUGCGUUAUCGCAGAUCAACUCUGGUCCAUGACGUUUGUUGGUCCGUGAUGUUUAUAACUAUGAACAAUAAUGGGGGAAAAUCACUACACAACACCUUUAUGAAAGUUUACCGCGGUUUCUCGAGUUUUGAUAAAAAAACGUUCCAAUUCUAUAAUAUUUCAUAUCGAUCAUUUUCAUGACCAAAAGGAACAAAAACCAAAACAAACGCCAUGUUGUCGAAUAUGUUGGUUACACGAUGUUUGACAGGUAGAUCCCCCCUGGUCUGUUCAGUUUAAGUUCAGUUCGUCUGGCAACCCUGAUCAUUGCUAGGUCGGUGUCAGCAGAGUCUAUGUUUAUAAUAAGAGUCCCGCAAAGAUGAAACCAAAGGAACCAAAUCAGUGUCAAACGAGGGUACCAAUCGAGCAAUGUAAAUAAACAAGGUGAUAAUGUUAGGAGUGGAUGAAAAGUGUUGUAAUUGAGCGUUAUAAAGAAUAUGUGUUUUUCCGAAGUUUUACUUACACAUUUCAACCCAAUAUUAAACCUGUACACUGGUUCACUCAAAUUUAACAAAACAUUACCGGUGUAAUCUUUCAAAACUGAGUACCUUGUGAAGAAUUUCAAAAAAUGAUAUUUGCUUAUGCAUGGUGAAAAACAGAACUGUAUAGUUCUUGGCAACAAACGGCACAAAAACUGUGUUGCCGAAACGAUAGAUUUCUCUUCGCGCGACUCUAUAUACACAUAGACUCUGGGUGUCAGCAUCUGUUCAGUCCAGGGGGGAUUUACUGCUGUCAAAAUUCAUAUAUGUGUGCGUUACCGCAGAUCAACUCUGGUCCAUGAAGUUUGUUGGUCCAUGACGUUUAAAAGAUUUCCUGUGUGGCGAGGAAAGUUCAUGAUUUUCAGCUAAUUGCAGGCUGCUGCCACCAAAUUUCACUACGCAACGCAGUAUGAAUAAAAGUUUUCCGCGAUUUCUAGAGUUUUGUUAAAAAAGAACGUUACAAUUCUACUGAAUUUUACUCCAAUCAAAACGACAAAAACCAAAACAACCGGACGUCUUGUUGCCAAAUAUGCUGGUCACGGUUACACGAUAUUUGACAGAUAGAUUCCCCCUGGUUCAGUCGCAGUUUCAUUUUCAACUUAGGGACAUUACGGAAUUGCGUUGCUCGACUGUUCAUCGGCGAUCAACGAAGAAAUCUGUUGCUGUUCCAGAUAAUUAGUUUGUUUCCAUUACUCUGACAAACGAGUAUAUUUUUUUUACGAUCUAGCAUACACAUUUUAAUCAUUAAAAGAGAACUGAAAAGCAGAAUAAUACGCAUAAAAGUUAGAAUGUCAGAGUGUAUCGAACUUAAAAAAGUUGUAACGAGUUUGUUUUUCACAUAUACAUAUACUGCCGCUCUUUGCAUUUCGGUCCCAUAGCGAAAAAAAAAAGUGGAGAAAACGUCGAUUGAAUUUUUUUUAUCAAUUUUCGGUUAUUUUGUGUCGGCAUGGCUUGUUCUAGUAAGUAUUUGUUAUAAAUUGGUUAAAUUAAGUAGCAAUGUGACUGACAUGCGAAUAGUUUUCGAUCUGGUCAGCUAAUCAUUCGAUAACCGUCUCGUAACGAAAAGUGUUGCACCAAGUUAUCAGACAACUUCGGCAGCGGCUCUCUUCGGCAGGUUUUCUACGGUCUUCUAAUGCGAUACCCCUCGGAGAAUACUGCUACUGAAAUAGUUCGAUACCACACUUUUCCCAUUCUUUUGUCAUAAUCAUCAAUUAUUUAUUAUACCUUUUCCUGCGAGAGAUAGAUUUCUCCGCGGGAAAUGGUUUAUAAAAAAAUGUGUAACAAGAGGGUAUGGUAGUAUAGGUUUGUUUAAAACUUACGUCCACAUUUUAAGGAAAAGAGGGAGGUUUUAAACAUGUGUGAUAAAACGAGUAAGUAGUAUGCGAAAUAGUGCGACAUGCGAAUAAAUUUUUAAAUAUGUGUAUGAUAAGAUUUUGUUUCAGAUUAAUAAGCACUUCCAUCGCAUAGUAUGGUUAAAAAAUGUACACUUCAAGACAUCAGUGAGAUAAGCAAGGUUUGAUUUUUUAAAUUAUACGAAUAAAGUUUACUAUUAUACUAUUUUUUUAUAAACUUGAGAUGGUUUUAAACACAUUUCCACAAGAAAAAAUCAAAAUCAUCAAACAUCGAUAUAGAACGGAUAUGCGAAGAGCAUCAGUAUACUACAAAUACUUUUUAAAUAACUUUAUUACAAAACUUUUAGUAAGACUAUUAGGUUCUAGGUAAAGUAUGCUGAAGAGGAAUAAAAACAAUAUCGUUACACUUAUA